rnacentral:rRNA from 1 species
CCUACGUGAGGCAGCAGUGAGGAAUAUUGGUCAAUGGACGAGAGUCUGAACCAGCCAAGUAGCGUGAAGGAUGACUGCCCUAUGGGUUGUAAACUUCUUUUAUAAAGGAAUAAAACGAGGCACGUGUGCCUUUUUGCAUGUACUUUAUGAAUAAGGAUCGGCUAACUCCGUGCCAGCAGCCGCGGUAAUACGGAGGAUCCGAGCGUUAUCCGGAUUUAUUGGGUUUAAAGGGAGCGUAGAUGGGUUGUUAAGUCAGUUGUGAAAGUUUGCGGCUCAACCGUAAAAUUGCAAUUGAUACUGGCAGUCAUGAGUACAGUUGAGGUAAGCGGAAUUCGUGGUGUAGCGGUGAAAUGCUUAGAUAUCACGAAGAACCCCGAUUGCGAAGGCAGCUUACUAAACUGUGGCUGACAUUGAUGCUCGAAAGUGUGGGUAUCAAACAGGAUUAGAUACCCGGGUAGUC